GUCCACUGAUGAGCUUUGACAAGCUUUAUGAUUCAGUCAGACUAAGAUAUUAAGUCUCUAGCCUGUUGUUAUGUGGGUAGUCUUGGUUGUGUGGUAGAGUGUUAUUGCAUUACUGUAAGGGCCCACCCAGAGUGAAAUUGACAUUUUCUAUGCUGUGCCACCUCAAGAGAAAUUGGGUAGUAUAAGCAGGAGCUGUCAAACAAUGUGUGGAUGUUUGCCAUUGUGUGCAUAUUGAUCAGCUAGCAAGAGGCUAUCAGUCUCUGUAUAGUUGGUUUGGCUGGUGUGAAUUGUUUUCUUUGGUAAUCUGAAGACA
ensembl:snoRNA Small nucleolar RNA U85